rnacentral:rRNA from 1 species
GAUGAACGCUGGCGGCGUGCCUAAUACAUGCCAGUCGAGCGAACAGACGAGGUGCUUGCUCCUCUGACGUUAGCGGCGGACGGGAGAGUAACAUGUGGAUCACCUACCUAUAAGACUGGUAUAACUUCGGGAAACCGGAGCUAAUACCGGAUCAUAUAUUGAACCUCAUGGUUCAAUAGUGAAAGACGGUUUUGCUGUCACUGCUAGAUGGAUCCGCGCUGCAUUAGUUAGUUGGUAAGGUAACGGCUUACCAUGGCAACGAUGCGUGGCCAACCUGUGAGGGUGUAGGCCCACAGUGAAGCUGAGAGACGACCCUGAGACUUACGGGAGGCAGCGGUAGGGAAUGUACCGCAAUGGGCGAAAGCUUGACGGAGCGACGCCGCGUGAGUGCAGAAGCGCUUCGGGUCGGAGGACGGUGUUAUGGGGGAAGAACGAAUGUAUAAGUAACGAAGCACGUCGUGACGGUACCUGAACAAGAAGCCACGGCUAACUACGUG